UUGACGAGCUUGGAGUUUGCACCUAGGGAGCAACUUUCAUCUACCAGAGGAGGCAACCAUAAAUACAUUGGAUGCGUUGUGGGAACUGACUUUGUACUCCUGAUUUGAUAUGGGUUUUGAUAUUGAAUGCAUAGUUGACAUCCAUACCUAUCCUGGGGAGUAUUUCUGUCCUGUUUGUCGCACUCUUGUCUUCCCUAAUGAAGCCCUCCAAUCACAGUGCACUCAUCUCUACUGCAAACCUUGUCUGGCCCAUGUUGCCAAUGGAAGCCGGGCCUGUCCCUAUGAUGGAUACUUGGUGACUGAAGCAGACUCUAAACCCCUUAUCGAGUCAGACAAGACGCUUGCUGAAAGCAUAGGCAAAGUUAAAGUGCGUUGUCUCUAUCACAGAAGUGGAUGCACAUGGGAAGGUCCCUUGUCUGAAUGCACUUCCCAUUGUUCUGGCUGUUCCUUUGGGAAUUCUCCAGUUAUAUGCAAUAGAUGUGGAGUCCAGAUUGUGCAUCGACAAGUGCAUGAACAUGCUCAGAGUUGUCCUGGUGUAUAUCCUGCACAACAGGCAGCUAAUGGUGCCCAAGAUAAUCCUAGCUCUGGAGCAGCUGCCACUGCUGCUGGUGAUGACUCGAAUCAAACUACAACUCAUUCAGGAACUCCAGCUUCUCAAACACCAAAUCCUCAAAGCACUACUGCUUCCCUGCUUAAUGGACAAGAUCGUAAUCAGCAGACAAGUGCCAGCUCUCAGGCUCCUGCUACAGCUUCAGCUGGUGUGCCUACUUCAGAUCAGUGGUAUCAGCAACAAUAUCAACAGUAUUUUCAGCAAUAUGCUGGAUAUGAUCCUUAUCAACAGCAAACUUAUCAACAAUACUAUCCCUAUCAGCAACAACCCGUCCAACAAUAUCAGCAACAACCCGUCCAACAAUAUCAGCAACAACCUCCAAUUUACAUGCAGCCACCAGCACAACCCCAGACCCCAAUCCCAGGACAGCCUCAAUCCCAGCCCCAGCCGCAACCAUUGAAUCCUCAACCUCACCCUCAAAUGCAAGCUCUACCUAAAGGGCCAACUCAACCACAGGUUCAAGCUGUGGCUCAGCAACAUCAAAACCAGGUUCAAGUCAACCCACAGCAGCAGCUUCCACCAACUGGGCAGUCUCAUACCCAAAUUCCAUCACAAAUAUUUCCAGCUUCUCAUGCUCAGCCACCUACUCAGCCUCCGCCAUAUCCUCAGCCCUAUCCGAUGCAAUCUCAUUCACAACACCAUGUGCAGGUGCCACAGUAUCAGCAGCAUCCUGCCCAGGUUCACCCUCCCCAGUCUUCUCAAGCCCAACCGCAACCUCAUUCACAACUUCAACCGCAGAUAAGUGUUCAACAUCAUCAACAAUCUCAUGGCCAAUUGCGCCCCCCUCAGGCUGGCCAAGCUGCUCAUGGACAGACUCAGACCCUCCAUUCAACAGUCAAUGCUGUUUCAGGGUACAAUUCCUAUCCACAACCCCAGCCCAUGCAGCAAAUGCCUAUAGGGUUUACACAGCAAACUCCAAUACGUCCACAUCCUACUAGUGGGCCUAUUCCUCCAGUUCAAACUCAUAGUCAGGUUCCUCAACAACCUCCUUUGCGCACCAAUCAGCAAUGGGGCUUGGUACCUUCUCAAGGUCAAACUCCUGCACAGUCUCAACUUUAUCCUGCUCCGCAAGCAGGGCAUUUAAUUCAGCAACAUCCUGUUCAGCCUAAUCAACAACCAAUGUCUCAGCAAUACAGUCAACAGCAGGCAUUUCCUGGUCCAUUGCAGAGUCAGUCACACCAACAGGGUCAUCUUACUCACCAGCAGCCUUUGCAGUCUCAGUUUCGCCCGCAAGGUCUUCCUAAUGUGGUGCCUCAGAGUACACACACUUAUAUCCAACCACAGCAAAAUGUUUCCUUACCACCUCCCCCACAGCUUCAACAAUCUCAAACAUAUAUAGGAAGACCUGGGAUGCAAAAUCAUGUCCAGGGAAUUUCUCAGGCCCAUGGUGGGUAUAAUACUGCACCCCAGGUCAGAUCUGUCCAGCCCGCUUUAAGCCAACCACAACUGAAUCCAAGUUAUGGGAACAACAUGAGCAAUGAGCUUGAGUCUAUGGAUCAGAAGAAACGUUCAGCCCUAGAAAGCCAUGGUGAUCAGUUACCUGACAAAACCGGAAGGCCAGAAGUGGGAGUUCCUUUCCAGGAUAAUGCUCAAAAUGAUCUAAUUUCCUCUGCAGCCAAAUCAACUGAUGCAAUGGCCCCAAGAUUUGAAGCUGACUUAAACGAUGAACAACAGAAGCUUAAGAAAACUGCUGAUGAGUAUAGACAGAGGGCCAGCAGUGAUAUACAUGCUCAUAAGGGUGAUUCGGACGAGCUUAUGGACAAAAGAACUGUUAAGGAAGAGGGGAAUGAGAAUUCUUUGGAGCCUAGAUCUGCUAACAAAUCAGCUGAUGUAACAGUUAAAGCAGAGAAAGAUGCCUAUGAUGAUGCUCCAAAAGAACUGGACAAGUGUUUGGCAAACCAUGCAUCAUCUGAUGCUGCUGAUGGUUCAAUUAAGAAUCUGAACCCUGGAAGAAAUUCACAUGACGUUGCCAUUGACAGAGGGGGUUUUCAGCGGUAUGGGCAUGAGAUGCCACCACCAAACUCUGGACCAUCUUCUCAACAAAGGCCUUUUGGUCCUAUGAUAAUACCACCAAUGCCACCUCCAGGCUGUGCUCCUCAUGCCCAAGUUCCCAGAUAUUCCACUGCAAUGAUGCCUUCCGGGGAUGUGCCCCAGUCUUGUCAGCCAUUGAAUUCUCGUGAUCAUCAUCCACAAUUCCUGAAGCAGCCUAGUAAUGCCUCCGUUGGUGCUAUACCUGGUCCAGGAUCUACAACACUCUUUGGUAGAGGGCCUGGUCAUUUUCCUCCAGCAGGUGAUUACCGAGAGGGGAUAACGGGAAUGGGAAGAGCACCAUUAAGUGGUCCUGAAAUUCCCAGUGGAACACAACACUCGGUUAAUCCAGCAGAAUCUGAAAUGUUUCAAAAUCAAAGUAAUCGUUUUGAUGGAAAUCAACCAAACCUGUUUCCGCCAGGGUCUUUUGAAAAGGUUCCAUUUGGCCAAUCUAGAAGUAUGGAAUCAGCUAGGAAUAAAAGGUUGAAGGCGCCUGUGGGAGAGCAUUUAAGUCCUUUACCAGUGCCUCAUGAUCAAGCAUCACGGCCACUUGACAAGCCACCUCGCGGAUUAGUAUAUGAUUCUGGAUCAAAAUUGGAGGUCAGUGCUGGGGUUCCACCUAACAGAUUAUUGCCACCAUAUCAUCCUCCUGGUUCGAUGCAUUUCAAGGACAGUGGAGAAAGAGAAGCACCACUUGGUCCUCAUGAUGAUGAUAGAAAAAGGGCAGGACCUGGGUUUGGUGUGCAUCAUAUGGGUUAUUUGUCUGCCCGAAAUCCUGAUGGGGAGGUCUUUAACAUUCCACCGCGCAGAUUUCGAAGUCACUCAGGUUUUGAAGAUAUUGGUGGCAGAGAGCCCCGCCAAUUUAUUGAAGGGCCUAAACCUUUAAAUUUUCCUUCCAAUGUAGCUGGUGGUUUAUUCUCUGAUGGUAGGUUCCAACCUUUGCCUGGCCACUCACAUGGGCUCGAGGUUGAUGGUCAUGGGGACUUGAGAGGUACCGAGCAUACUACCUUUAUUCGUCCUUACAACCAUGUCCAUAGUGGUGAUAUGUUUGGAAAAGACGCUCCGAAUCAUUUGCAUCAUCUUGAGCCUUUGGAUCCUCAGAAAUUACCAAGUCAUUUACGUUUUGCUGAACCUGCUGGCUUUGGUACCUUUGCUGGCCGUGCUUAUAGGGGGGAGUUGUCAGGGCCUGGUGAUUUUCCUGGUUUUGGUGAACCAGUUGGACGCUACACACCUGGUAUACCACGGUUUGGGGAGCCUGGAUUUAGGAGCAGGUAUCCUGUCCCAGGAUUUCCAAACGAUGGACUUUAUGCGGGUGAUAUGGAUUCCUUUGAUAGACCAAGAAAGAGGAAGCCCGUGAGCAUGGGCUGGUGCCGCAUUUGCAAGGUUGAUUGUGAAACUGUUGAGGGCCUAGAUAUGCAUUCACAGACAAGAGAGCACCAGGAUAUGGCUAUGGAUAUGGUCAGGACUAUCAAGGAGCAAAACCGAAAAAAACAGAAGACUUUUAGUGAUCGUGCUGCAGUUGAAGAGAAAGGCAAGCCUAGAAAGGCAGUGUUCGAGGGCCGUGGUAGAAAAGCAUGAGCCUGGGAUGGUAAACAGGAAGUAGAAGGCAGUGGUUGAUGGUUGUUACUAAGCUCUCAAUCGGGCGUUUGCAUUGCAAUGUAGGUGCUAAUUACAGUGUCUUUCUUCCUUUUCUGGGGGGUUUUUAUCCUAGCUUUGUCAUUUCAGGUUGCUGCCCUGUUGUUGGAGAUGGUUUUGGAUUGGAAGUUUCUGUGGCAAUCUUUUCCAUUCAACUUGUCUUUUUUGGGCGAGGCAGAAGAGAUAAAAGGUUGACUCUUCAGCAGAACAGUUUACCUGCAACUUUUUCGGUGGUAAGGAUAUGCUUGAUGUAUAAAACUUGUUUAUCAGCAUAUAUAGUGUUUUGUUGGUUGAAUUGGUAAUCUGCUGGAUCAUAUUCUUUUCUUUAGCCUCCUUUAACAUUCUUAGACAUCUGUUUAUUAAAUUCUCUUGUAGUUGAGUAAUUAUUUGGAAGUAUUUUUAGCUGUGCUCUAUUUUGGAGUUUAGGUAUUAGCUGCUACACUCAAGGGUGCCUUAGUGUUUUUGUCUCAUGCAGUGUGCAUGUGGGAGCUUCUAUGUGGAAGCUGACAUUUCUCAGUGUCCACCCUCUCUGAGGUUUGUAGAUUCUUUUUAAAAUAAAAAAAAAUAAAAAUUAUGAUUCGGUGAUUAUCCUAUUAUGACUAGUGUAGGCAUCAUUGUUUGAAUGUUGGUCGUUGCUUAAUAAGUGUUUAGAUUCUUUUUGGUACAAACAUAAUCCCAUUAGUUGUGAAUUCAACAAGUGCCCCUUUGCGUGCAGCAUUUGUGUUUUCAAUAGGAACAUGAUAUUUUAAGAGAAAUCUUGAUUGGUUGUGUCUCAUCAACGUUAUAACAUAGAUUGAUUGUGUAUAGCUGGAAAUUCACCGGCAAACUUGGCUGUAAACAGGCAUAUUUAUGGCAUAAUUUGAAGCAACUAAAAUUGAUGCUUGCUUCACAAAAAAUCCACUCGGUGCGGCAGUCUAAAUGUCACAAGGCAUUUUUGAGCUUUUGCUAUGUAGUAUGUUGCUUUUCAGAGGCUGCUGGUGCUAGGGCUUAUAGCUACUGGUAUGAUUAUAGGAAAUAUAUGAGAUCCAUCUAUCCUUGGUCACGUGAUGUAGUUGACUAUAAAUUAAAGAGAUGUUCAAAAUUUAGGUUCCCUUUCGUUGAUCCAUUUUAAAUUUGACUCAAAAUUGAUUACCUGAUAUCAGUGUCCUUUUGACCACAGGAAGAUUCAAACUCCAUGGAUUGCCAAUGAUACAUUAUUACUAUAAUAACUAGCUUCCGAUGAAAAUAAAUUACAAAUUGCGUAGAUGUAUAUUUUAUGAUAGUUGCACAUCAUCUAGGUUGUAUGGAUGCCAAGUACUAUUUAGUAGUAGAUGUAUGUAUCCAAAUCCAUUGCGUCCAUGUUGAUGCUAUAAGAGUUCAGAAUUCACUGGUGUUAUUAAGGCAUCGUUUGGUUCCUCAUAUGGCUGUUUGACUCUAGAUUGUUCAGAUUUCAGCACACUUAAGUGCAUGUUUUUCUUUUAUAAUCAUUUUUCUGAACUGGUCCGGUUCAUAACUGAUGUACAGUGUUUUGAAAUUACUAAGCAUUGAUCACUAUAAAUAUUCCGUUCAUAAAUGUUAUACAAAGUUUUGAAAUUAUUAAGACAUCGAUCACUUCAAAAGUUCAUGUUAAUGUGAUCUUAUAUGAUUCCAUUACUAAUGGCUAGUUCAAUCCAACCUCCAUGGCACAGCUGUCAGUGCUACUCACAACCACUGACCGUAUACACGUGAGGCAUUACAACACUCCUACAAUUGCAUAACUACCAUUGCGACCUUUACUAUCUCAAUGUUGAGCUAUUAGCUUUUUGACCGUGCCUCAGCAAAUAAAUAGUUUAUGUUUAUGAUUUUCUUUAAUAUUUUGGAGAUUAUGCAAGUAUCAUUUUGUUGAAUAAUAUUUUAUUAAUUUGGGAGUUGAAAUAAAUUUAAAGAGUCAGAUGUUGAGACAAGUAGAGUUAAACUUUUUGUGUUCGUAAGUAUAGGUAAUAUAAUACUACUCAGAUACAUAUUUCAUGUUCCGACUUUUACAAUUUAAAAAAAAGGGGUUUUAGAAUUUCUUGAACAUAGUUGUACGGAUAUUGAUAUGAUAUAUGGGUUCUUACGAUCUGUAGUGGUUGUUGCAUUCAAGUUUUAGCUUUUGAGGAAAGUGGAUCUAGGACGCGCUAGGUACAAAAUGAUCUUUCUCAUACAAUAUAGGGAGUAUUGGAUGAUAAACCGGCGACAUGUCUCCUCUCAAAGAGUGGCUUUAAUCAUUGGAAAUAAUGGCUAGAAGGACCAAGUUCGAGAUGAUUGAAUGCUUUGUAUCUGCUGCACUACAUGAAGAUGUGACAGAUCGUUCAAAGUUGAUGAUCAAGAGCUUAAAAUCCCGCUUAACUGGGGUGCAUUUGACUUGGUGUGGUGUGUAUGUUUGCUUCGUUUGGAUGCUUGUCUCAUGGACCUUGGUCAUUAGUAGUUGCAGUUUGAUCGUGAAUCGUCAUAGUGUUAGCUGAGUUGUGUGCUGAUGGUGAAACUUUUGGUCUUCACUUUAAGAGCAUGUUUGGAAGGAUAACUCGUAAUACAUUUAUUCAUUUGUCAUAAUGUAAUUAUUAUGUAAGUC